rnacentral:lncRNA from 1 species
UUCGUUUUUCCACGGGAAGGAGUUUCUCCAGUUAUGUCCUCCUGCGGUAAUCAAAACUAAGGUUUGCUAUGAAGCUUUAGCCCUGACGAUCAACAAGGAAACAGUUGAAAUGUGAACCGGCAGCUAAACGUGAACUUUCCUAGAAGAGAAAGAAAAGAGAGCAUUGCUGUCUGUUCUCAGAAGGUGAAUACCUCGAUUUUCCAGUGAUACUGUUUUCUACAGAAGAAUUUAACUAAAGCCCCAUUUUUUCCUGCUUUUGACUUGAGGAUCCGUGCAAAAUCGCUGGCAGUCU